rnacentral:lncRNA from 1 species
AUGGCAGAGAGUAACCACUGCACGUCCAAGUUUCUUCCCCGUGGCACCCACGUCGAGUUAGGUGGUUCCGGCCCCGAGAGUGAUGACGACGAGGACGUCGAUGAGCGCGACCCCCCCAUCAUGUCGCUGUCGAAGAGCUCCACGAACGUGGUGGCGGGGCCCCCUCAGCGCAUGGAGCUGGCCUGGCUCCGCCCUGACCUCCGCAAGAGCGCCAGCGCACAGAGGCCCCGCAGCCUGGCGGGGUCGGGGGUCAACAUGUCCGCCUCGAAGUUCGGCAUCCUGUCGGGGGGCUCACCCCUCCUGCUUCAGGAGAGGAGCAGCCUAGGAAGUGGAGGCAGCAGCCCAGACACGGUGAUCUGGAGAGGGGGUUCCAGACGCCCCUGGAGCAUCACGGAGGACUCUUGCGCUAAACCAACACCUGUUCCAGAGAGGCCCGGUUACUUGGGGCUAGUAGGGGAUGGGUUCCACCCGUCCACCCUCUACUGCAAUAAGGACCUCCACGUGGAGCAGGUGGAGAGGACGGAGAGACAGUGUCCGAGCAGGUACAACCUCGCGGGGCAUGGGGUCAGCCGGGUGGCAGGCACUAGCGUUGAGCCCAGGUCUGCCACACCGGAGGGGCAGCCAUAUGAGGCUAGCGAGGACCCCGAGACUGUGGGUGUUGAGAGACGGGCUCCCAGCUCUUUAGGCUUUCCUCUGCUGGGGAGAGGCUGCAGGACAGACUGCGUUGGCGUUUUGCAGGGUACUUCUGGGUCGUUAACCCUCCCCUAUACUAAUGCUAACUCGACUCUCCACAAUGCUGCAGUGCAUUCGCCAUUGACUCAUGCCACUGAAAGUCAAAGGUCAUCAUUUUCGGCAGGCUCUCUGGCCUUCCCCCCGCUGGUGUCGUCCACCAGUGAGAUGAGCCAGGACCAGUGUGUUCUGGCCCACAGCUGCACCCCCCGAGGUAGCGACUCGUCCAGCGUCUCCAGCUCCGGCGCAGCAUCUGCGGUGUUGGGGGCGCCCCGGUUGUGGCCCUCACUGCAGCGGACGGUGAGGGAAGUCGGCACCAUGACGCCCCGCAGC